rnacentral:rRNA from 1 species
CCUACGGGAGGCAGCAGUGAGGAAUAUUGGUCAAUGGCCGGAAGGCUGAACCAGCCAUGCCGCGUGAAGGUCAGUGCCCUAUGGGCGUUAAACUUCUUUUGUGCGGGAGCAAUAAUGGUCAAGUGUGGCCAGACGAGAGUACCGUACGAAUAAGCAUCGGCUAACUCCGUGCCAGCAGCCGCGGGAAUAAGGGGGAUGCAAGCGUUAUCCGGAUUUAUUGGGUUUAAAGGGUGCGUAGGCUGUGAGGUAAGUCAGCGGUGAAAUGCCCCCGCUCAACGGGGUGAAGUGCCAUUGAUACUGGCUGGCUGGAAUGCGGAUGACGUGGGAGGAAUGUGUGGUGUAGCGGUGAAAUGCAUAGAUAUCACACAGAACACCGAUUGCGAAGGCAUCUCACGAAUCCGCGAUUGACGCUGAUGCACGAAAGCGUGGGUAUCAAACAGGAUUAGAUACCCCAGUAGUC